GGUCUAAAGGAUUGUCUCUAGACUAAAGUCUCUCUAGAGAUAGUCUUUUAGUC
rnacentral:pre_miRNA from 1 species